rnacentral:rRNA from 1 species
GGACUACUGGGGUAUCUAAUCCUGUUUGCUCCCCACGCUUUCGCGCCUCAGCGUCAGAACCGGGCCAGAGAGCCGCUUUCGCCACCGGUGUUCCAGCCAAUAUCUACGAAUUUCACCUCUACACUGGCUAUUCCACCCUCCUCUCCCGGUCUCCAGCUCCCCCGUAUCGGAUGCCGUUCCGAGGUUGAGCCCCGGGCUUUCACAUCCGACGCAAGAAGCCGCCUACGCGCCCUUUACGCCCAGUAAUUCCGAACAACGCUAGCACCCUCCGUCUUACCGCGGCUGCUGGCAC